rnacentral:rRNA from 1 species
UACGGAGGGAGCUAGCGUUGUUCGGAAUUACUGGGCGUAAAGCGCACGUAGGCGGCUUUGUAAGUUAGAGGUGAAAGCCCGGAGCUCAACUCCGGAAUUGCCUUUAAGACUGCAUCGCUUGAAUCCGGGAGAGGUGAGUGGAAUUCCGAGUGUAGAGGUGAAAUUCGUAGAUAUUCGGAAGAACACCAGUGGCGAAGGCGGCUCACUGGACCGUUGUUGACGCUGAGGUGCGAAAGCGUGGGGAGCAAACAGG